rnacentral:rRNA from 1 species
UUAGGAAUCUUCCCCAAUGGGCGAAAGCCUGAGGGAGCGAUACCGCUUGAAGGACGAAGCCCCUCGGGGUGUAAACUUCUGAACUUGGGACGAUAAUGACGGUACCAAGGUAAUAGCACCGGCUAACUCCGUGCCAGCAGCCGCGGUAAUACGGAGGGUGCAAGCGUUACCCGGAUUUACUGGGUGUAAAGGGCGUGUAGGCGGCUUUUCAAGUCCGAUGCUAAAGACUGAGGCUCAACCUCAGGAGUGCGUUGGAUACUGUGAGGCUAGACGGUCGGAGAGGGUAGCGGAAUUCUCGGAGUAGCGGUGAAAUGCGCAGAUACCGAGAGGAACGCCAAUAGCGAAAGCAGCUACCUGGACGAUUAGUGACGCUGAGGCGCGAAAGCGUGGGGAGCAAACC